AUUAACACAGCAGCAUCAGAGCCAUGGAUAGCCCCCUCACUGAACUAGAGGUGAAUAUUAACACAGCAGCAUCAGAGCCAUGGAUAGCCCCCUCACUGACCUAGAGGUGAAUAUUAACACAGCAGCAUCAGAGCCAUGGAUAGCCCCCUCACUGAACUAGAGGUGAAUAUUAACACAGCAGCAUCAGAGCCAUGGAUAGCCCCCUCACUGACCUAGAGGUGAAUAUUAACACAGCAGCAUCAGAGCCAUGGAUAGCCCCCUCACUGAACUAGAGGUGAAUAUUAACACAGCAGCAUCAGAGCCAUGGAUAGCCCCCUCACUGACCUAGAGGUGAAUAUUAACACAGCAGCAUCAGAGCCAUGGAUAGCCCCCUCACUGAACUAGAGGUGAAUAUUAACACAGCAGCAUCAGAGCCAUGGAUAGCCCCCUCACUGACCUAGAGGUGAAUAUUAACACAGCAGCAUCAGAGCCAUGGAUAGCCC